CCUACGGGUGGCUGCAGUGGGGGAUAUUGCGCAAUGGGCGAAAGCCUGACGCAGCGACGCCGCGUGGGUGAUGAAGGCCUUCGGGUCGUAAAGCCCUGUCGAGGGGGACGAAACGGCUCCGACCUAAUACGUCGGGGUUCUGACGGUACCCCUAAAGGAAGCACCGGCUAACUCCGUGCCAGCAGCCGCGGUAAUACGGAGGGUGCGAGCGUUGUUCGGAAUCACUGGGGGGAACUCGCGAGUAGGAGGUGAAAGCCCGGGGCUCACCCCCGGAAGUGCAUUGGAAACUGACAGACUGGAGUCCCGGAGAGGAGGGUGGAAUUCCUGGUGUAGCGGUGAAAUGCGUAGAUAUCAGGAGGAACACCGGUGGCGAAGGCGGCCCUCUGGACGGUGACUGACGCUGAGACGCGAAAGCGUGGGGAGCAAACAGGAUUAGAUACCCCAGUAGUC
rnacentral:rRNA from 1 species